AACAUCGCGCACCUGCGGGAACCUGCGGAGGGAUCAUUACCGAGUUUACAACUCCCAAACCCCUGUGAACAUACCAAUUGUUGCCUCGGCGGAUCAGCCCGCUCCCGGUAAAACGGGACGGCCCGCCAGAGGACCCCUAAACUCUGUUUCUAUAUGUAACUUCUGAGUAAAACCAUAAAUAAAUCAAAACUUUUAGCAAUGGAUCU
rnacentral:misc_RNA from 1 species